GUAUAAUGGAGGGCAAUCAACUUAUUAAAACCAAGACUUAUAUUCAAAAUAUUAAACACGCACUUCUUAUUCGGCUAGGUAUACUUCAUAAAGAAUAAAAAUGAAUACAACACCUACUAGUAUGAUACAAAAUGUCUUCAAGUCGACGGCUGUGACCUACCUGAACACCACAAACAAUAAUAAUGACGAUCCUAUGUUUGUGACACUGCGCCUCCUUGUAUUCCUAUUUGUGGUCGUGAUAUUCUUUGUUCUUGGUCUAGGCUGCUAUAGAAUUCGACAACGUUGUUCCAAGGAUUACAACCACUUUCUCGACGUCAUUUAGCAGUCAUUGUGGCGGGAAAAAAGUUCUCAGCAACAUUUCAAAAGAAUUAAAGUGUGGCCAGAAAAAAAUAUGAUUACGACGUUUUGUGUCGAUAACAUUCAACAUCUGACGAACAAAGGACAUUUCGAUUGUUGGAUCAAAUUAAUGUACAGCAUGACUCAGAUUUAGCAUCAGAAAGGGAGUUGUUUAUACUGUCCGGCGAAUAAUGAAAAUAACUUUUGUGCAAUAUUGUGUGAUACAUGAUCAAAAUUGAUUGUAAAAAGUUUGGGGUCACGCAAUUUUUGUUGCACGUCGACCAGAGGUCAUGUUGUUACAGUUGUGACCGCCAAUUUUUGAUGUUAAGACGAACGAUAGGAGGACAUUUGAUUUGAGGUCUUACGUGACUGUACCAUAUUUUAUAUUAUGUACACAUUUAUUUUAAAAUCAUAUAUAAGUGCAAAUAGAUGUAUCUAGAUACGAUCUAUUUCAAUCAAGUGCGUGUGUGCGUGCGUGCGUGCGUACUCUCAUACUUUAGAACCCAAUAUCCAUCGUUCUAAAUUGAUUGUAUGAGACAUGUGUACAUAAAUAAA